rnacentral:rRNA from 1 species
GAUAAACGCUGGCGGCGUGCCUAACACAUGCAAGUCGAACGCUCUUUGUUCGCAAGGACACAAGGGAGUGGCGGACGGGUGAGUAACACAUGGGAAUCGACCCACACGUGAGGAAUACCUGCGAGAAAUCGCAGACAAUACCGCAUAGGCUCGUGGAAGCGAGCAAAGCUCUUUUUCGGAAGGGCGCGGGUGGACGAGCCUGUGUCUGAUUAGCUGGUUGGUGGGGUAAGAGCCUACCAAGGCUGCGAUCAGUCGCUGGUCUGAGAGGAUGAUCAGC